rnacentral:piRNA from 1 species
UGCCCACCCGUGGAGGAAGAGGCCA